rnacentral:rRNA from 1 species
GACGAACGCUGGCGGCGUGCUUAACACAUGCAAGUCGAACGGAAAGGCCCUGCUUUUGUGGGGUGCUCGAGUGGCGAACGGGUGAGUAACACGUGAGUAACCUGCCCUUGACUUUGGGAUAACUUCAGGAAACAGGGGCUAAUACCGGAUAGGAGCUCCUGCUGCAUGGUGGGGGUUGGAAAGUUUCGGCGGUUGGGGAUGGACUCGCGGGUUAUCAGCUUGUUGGUGGGGUAGUGGCUUACCAAGGCUUUGAUGGGUAGCCGGCCUGAGAGGGUGAUCGGCCACACGGGAACUGAGACACGGUCCAGACGCCUACGGGAGGCAACAGUAGGGAAUCUGCCGCAAUGGGCGAGAGCCUGACGGAGCAACGCCGCGGUAGUGCUGAAGGUCUUCGGAUCGGAAAACUCUGUUAUUGGGGAAGAACAAAUGUGUAAGUAACGAUGCACGUCUUGACGGUACCUAAUCAGAAAGCCACGGCUAACUACGUG